rnacentral:rRNA from 1 species
GCUCACUAGGUCUUCUCCCUUGCCUCCUCUUCUUUCUUGCUCGACACCCACACAGCCGCCACCAUGGGAGAAGAAAGAAAGCUCAGAUCUCCCCUUGCCUUCUGAUGUUUCUGAACAACUUGCCCAGACGAUUCUUGCUGGCAACUACCUUCUCCUUCGAUCCACCAAACCAACAGCAGCAGAUCUGCUAGAAAAAUGGAUAAUCCUCAAUUUCAUACCCAGAUCACAGAUCUGUCAGCAGGAAAAGCAAAACAAAGAAGAAAGAAACCUGGGGAUCAAAC